rnacentral:rRNA from 1 species
AAAUGAAUUGACGGGGACCCGCACAAGCAGCGGAGCAUGUGGUUUAAUUCGAAGCAACGCGAAGAACCUUACCAAGACUUGACAUCGUAUGACCACUAUAGAGAUAUAGGAUUCUGUAGCAAUACAGACAUAUAGACAGGUGGUGCAUGGUUGUCGUCAGCUCGUGUCGUGAGAUGUUGGGUUAAGUCCCGCAACGAGCGCAACCCCUAUGACUAGUUGCCAAUAUUAAGUUAGGAACUCUGGUCAGACUGCCGUGGAUAACACGGAGGAAGGUGGGGACGACGUCAAAUCAUCAUGCCCCUUACGUCUUGGGCUACACACGUGCUACAAUGGCUACUACAAAGAGCAGCGAACUAGUAAUAGCAAGCGAAUCUCAAAAAGGUAGUCUCAGUUCGGAUUGUGGGCUGCAACCCGCCCACAUGAAGUCGGAGUUGCUAGUAAUCCCGAAUCAGAAUGUCGGGGUGAAUGCGUUCCCGGGUCUUGUACACACCGCCCGU